rnacentral:lncRNA from 1 species
CUUGAACUUGUGAUCCUCCUGUCUCAGCCUCAUGAACCAUUGGGAUUCCAGGCAUGUGCCCAGUGAACGUGUCCAUUCUUAUUAUGUUAUUAUUGUCUUCACUUCUUCUUGGUCUUGAUAAUUGAUCUCUUCUAUCUGGAGAUGCUGGACAGUUUGACUCUGGCUCUGUAGUCUGACCUUGCCGCAGUCUGGCUGGGCACAAAAUCACAAGCCACUCACAGCCUUGUAGAUUCAAACAGCAAUUCUUUAUUCCCGAACUCACACCGGCACCCUACAAGCACAUUCUGGGCAAAAUCCACACUCUCCACCAGGCUCUGAAUCCCAAAAUACUCUCUGAAUCCCGCGAGAACUCAAUGGGAACUCAAGGCGCCUGAGGCAGCAGGAUACACCCUAUUCCCAGCAGGAAUCACCUUAAACCUGGAACUGCCCUAAACCCCCAUCCGCCCUGGUCCUUGAGCAAGGUCACCUUUCAUGCAAAGUCACUGCAAAUGCCCUGGGUCCAAGGCAAGCCCAUUUCCACAAUGGAGAGUCCUCCCUCUAAGCAACAUGGGGUAGGCUGACAAAGAAAUUGCCAUGCGUCAUUCUUACUUAGCUAUGGCUCUCAGCAUGACCUCUGCCCUACUUUAGAUCUUAAUGGCCAAUUCUCUGCUGGGCAUCUCUGUAUAAUCCGGAGGCCCCUCAAACUCCACAGAUCCAAAAAGAAGGUUAUUAUUUACAGAUUCCAGACUUUUUCUUUAUUUCCAGUAGAAUGUUAUCCCCAGCCAGCCUGUCAUCUAAACAACAAACUCAACAUUAAUCCUCACCUAUGUCCUUUACCUGCCUAUCCUUACCUGCUCAUCCUUUACCACUCAUUUUUUGCCACCUAUGCUUAUAGUCAGUGAUCAAGUUUUGUGGCUUUAAGUUGUUUGCCUGCCUGCAUUUCUUCCUUGUAUUUGGAAUUGAACCCAGGAGUGAUCCACUCCUCUGCAUCCCUAGUCCUUUCUAUUUUUUAUUUUGAAACGGAGGUCUUGCUAAGAGGGCCAGUCUUGCCUUGAACUUGCAAUCCUCUGGACUUGGCCUCCUAAGUAGCCUGGAUUCCAGGUGUGAGCUACUAUGCCUUGUCCGUAUUUCUUUUCUUUUCAAGUAAAGAUAAAAGUGCACAGGUCUGGGCUGGGAUUGUAGCUCAGUGGUAGAGUGCUUGCCUAGCAUGUGCGAGGCCCUGGGUUCGAUCCUCAGCACUACAUAAAAGUAAAUAAAUAAAAUAAAGAUAUUGUGUCCAACUACAAUUAAAAAAUAAAUAAAAGUGCACAAGUCUUAACUGUAGCUUGAUGAAUUUUCAGAUGCUACACACUUGGAUAGUUAUUACUCAGAUGAAGAUGGUAAAGGUUAGGAACAUUUUUCAUACCACCAAAGGUUUCCUUGUGUCCUCUUUUUAAAUUUUUAAAAAUUUUUUGUGAUGUUGGGGAUUGAACCCAGGGCCUUUUGCAUGAGAGGCAAUCACUCUACCAACUGAGCUAUAUCCCUAGCCUUAAAUUUUUUAUUAUUUUAUAUUUUGGUACUGGGAAUUGAACCCAGGGAUGCUUUACCAAUGAGCUACAUCCCCAGUCUUGUUUCUUUUUCCUUUUGAGAAAGGGUCUUACUAAGUUGCUGAGCCGGGCCUCAAACUUUUAAUCCUACCUCACCCUCCCAAGUCACUGAGAUUACAUGUGUGUGUCACCACUCCUGGCCCUUGUGUUCCUUUUAAGAACAUAUUUGCCCACUCUUGUCCAAGGGUAACCAAUGUUUGACUGGUAUCUAUUUAAACCUCAGAUAAACAGAAUCAUGCAGUACAUGUUUUUUCGUGUCUAUCUGACUGUUUUGAGGUAGA